rnacentral:rRNA from 1 species
CACGUAGGGGGGCAAGCGUUGUCCGGAUUUAUUGGGCGUAAAGAGCGUGUAGGCGGCCAUACAGGUCAGCUGUGAAAACUCGAGGCUCAACCUCGAGACGUCGGUUGAAACCGUAUGGCUAGAGUCCGGAAGAGGAGAGUGGAAUUCCCGGUGUAGCGGUGAAAUGACGCAGAUAUCGGGGAAGAACACCCGUGGCGAAGGCGGCUCUCUGGGACGGUACUG